rnacentral:rRNA from 1 species
CUGCGGAAGGAUCAUUACUAGAGCAAAGGAUAGACAGCGCCCGCGGAGCUCGCUCCCGGGGCUACCCUACUCCCGUAGGGUUUAGAGUCGUCGGGCCUCUCGGAGAAGCUCGGUCCUGAACUCCACCCUUGAAUAAACUACCUUUGUUGCUUUGGCGGGCCGCCUCGUGCCAGCGGCUUCGGCUGUUGAGUGCCCGCCAGAGGACCCCAACUCUUGUUUUUAGUGAUGUCUGAGUACUAUAUAAUAGUUAAAACUUUCAACAACGGAUCUCUUGGUUCUGGCAUCGAUGAAGAACGCAGCGAAAUGCGAUAAGUAAUGUGAAUUGCAGAAUUCAGUGAAUCAUCGAAUCUUUGAACGCACAUUGCGCCCUCUGGUAUUCCGGGGGGCAUGCCUGUUCGAGCGUCAUUAUAACCACUCAAGCUCUCGCUUGGUAUUGGGGUUCGCGGUUUCGCGGCCCCUAAAAUCAGUGGCGGUGCCUGUCGGCUCUACGCGUAGUAAUACUCCUCGCGAUUGAGUCCGGUAGGUCUACUUGCCAGCAACCCCUAAUUUUUUUAAGGUUGACCUCGGAUC